rnacentral:rRNA from 1 species
GCAAGUCGAGCGCACUCUUCGGAGUCAGCGGCGGACGGGUGAGUAACGCGUGGGAACAUGUCUCCUGGUGGGGGACAACAGCUGGAAACGACUGCUAAUACCGCAUAAGCCCUUAGGGGGAAAGAUUUAUCGCCACGAGAUCGGCCCGCGUUGGAUUAGGUAGUUGGUAGGGUAAUGGCCUACCAAGCCUACGAUCCAUAGCUGGUCUGAGAGGAUGAUC